rnacentral:rRNA from 1 species
ACGAACGCUGGCGGCGUGCUUAACACAUGCAAGUCGAACGGAAAGGCCCCGCUUUUGUGGGGUGCUCGAGUGGCGAACGGGUGAGUAACACGUGAGUAACCUGCCCUUGACUUUGGGAUAACUUCAGGAAACUGGGGCUAAUACCGGAUAGGAGCUCCUGCUGCAUGGUGGGGGUUGGAAAGUUUCGGCGGUUGGGGAUGGACUCGCGGCUUAUCAGCUUGUUGGUGGGGUAGUGGCUUACCAAGGCUUUGACGGGUAGCCGGCCUGAGAGGGUGACCGGCCACAUUGGGACUGAGAUACGGCCCAGACUCCUACGGGAGGCAACAGUGGGGAAUAUUGCACAAUGGGCGGAAGCCUGAUGCAGCAACGCCGCGUGCGGGAUGACGGCCUUCGGGUUGUAAACCGCUUUCGCCUGUGACGAAGCGUGAGUGACGGUAAUGGGUAAAGAAGCACCGGCUAACUACGUG